rnacentral:rRNA from 1 species
AGUAAUGCUUGGGAAUCUGGCUUAUGGAGGGGGAUAACUACGGGAAACUGUAGCUAAUACCGCGUAAUAUCGAAAGAUUAAAGUGUGGGACCUUCGGGCCACAUGCCAUAGGAUGAGCCCAAGUGGGAUUAGGUAGUUGGUGAGGUAAAGGCUCACCAAGCCGACGAUCUCUAGCUGGUCUGAGAGGAUGACCAGCCACACUGGGACUGAGACGCGGCCCAG